GAUGAAGAACGCAGCGAAAUGCGAUAAGUAAUGUGAAUUGCAGAAUUCAGUGAAUCAUCGAAUCUUUGAACGCACAUUGCGCCCGCCAGUAUUCUGGCGGGCAUGCCUGUUCGAGCGUCAUUUCAACCAUCAAGCCCCCGGCUUGUGUUGGGGACCUGCGGCUGCCGCAGGCCCUGAAAACCAGUGGCGGGCUCGCUAGUCACUCCGAGCGUAGUAGUUACAUCUCGCUCAGGGCGUGCUGCGGGUUCCGGCCGUUAAAAGCCUUAUUUACCCAAGGUUGACCUCGGAUCAGGUAGGAAGACCCGCCGAACUUAAGCAUAUCAAUAAGCGGAGGA
rnacentral:misc_RNA from 1 species